CCUACGGGAGGCAGCAGUAGGGAAUAUUGCUCAAUGGGGGAAACCCUGAAGCAGCAACGCCGCGUGGAGGAAGAAGGUUUUCGGAUUGUAAACUUCUUUUGUCAGAGAAGAAAAUGACGGUAUCUAACGAAUAAGCACCGGCUAACUCCGUGCCAGCAGCCGCGGUAAUACGGAGGGUGCAAGCGUUAUCCGGAAUCACUGGGGGUAAAGGGCGCGUAGGCGGGAGUGCAAGUCAGAUGUGAAAUCCGAUGGCUUAACCAUAGGACUGCAUUUGAAACUGUUCUUCUGGAGUGUGGGAGAGGUAAGUGGAAUUCUUGGUGUAGGGGUGAAAUCCGUAGAGAUCAAGAGGAAUACUCGUGGCGAAGGCGGCCUGCUGGAACGUAACUGACGCUGAUGCGCGAAAGCGUGGGGAGCAAACAGGAUUAGAUACCCGAGUAGUC
rnacentral:rRNA from 1 species